UACGGAGGGUGCGAGCGUUGUCCGGAAUCACUGGGCGUAAAGGGCGCGUAGGCGGCCUGGUAAGUAGGGGGUGAAAUCUUGCGGCUUAACCGCAAGGCUGCCUUCUAAACUGUCGGGCUAGAGCACAGUAGAGGCAGGUGGAAUUCCCGGUGUAGCGGUGGAAUGCGUAGAGAUCGGGAAGAACAUCAGUGGCGAAGGCGGCCUGCUGGGCUGUUGCUGACGCUGAGGCGCGACAGCGUGGGGAGCAAACAGG
rnacentral:rRNA from 1 species